AAGAAGGACACAAAGAACGCGGAAGAACAAGUCCUUUAUUGGAUUGACUUUUUAUUCCAUGCGUUUGCACCUUUUGUUCUUUCGUCUUGUUUCUUCGGUAUCAUUUUUACUUGGAUU
rnacentral:ribozyme from 1 species